rnacentral:rRNA from 1 species
CAAUAGCGUAUAUUAAAGUUGUUGCAGUUAAAAAGCUCGUAGUUGAAUUUUUGCUUGCCGCCGAUGUCGGAACUUCCGUACGUUCGGCGGCGUGCAUCCUUGGGUGGAACCUGUGUGGCAUUAGGUUGUCGUGCAGGGGAUGCUCAUCGUUUACUGUGAAAAAAUUAGAGUGUUCAAAGCAGGCUUACGCCGUUGAAUAUAUUAGCAUGGAAUAAUAAGAUAGGACCUUGGUACUAUUUUGUUGGUUUGCGCACCGAGGUAAUGAUUAACAGGGACAGUUGGGGGUAUUCGUAUUCCAAUGUCAGAGGUGAAAUUCUUGGAUUUCUGGAAGACGAACUACUGCGAAAGCAUUUACCAAGGAUGUUUNCAUUAA